rnacentral:rRNA from 1 species
UACGUAGGGCUCGAGCGUUAUCCGGAUUUAUUGGGCGUAAAGAGUUCGUAGGCGGAUGGAUAAGUCUAAUGUUAAAGAUCCUGGCUCAACCGGGAGAAAGCGUUGGAAACUAUCUAUCUUGAGAGUGGUAGAGGCAGAUGGAAUUCUCGGUGUAGGGGUAAUAUCCGUAGAUAUCGAGAAGAACACCAAAGGCGAAGGCAGUCUGCUGGGCCAUCUCUGACGCUGAGGAACGAAAGCGUGGGGAGCGAACGGG